AUUGAACGCUGGCGGCAGGCCUAACACAUGCAAGUCGAGCGGAUGAAGGGAGCUUGCUCCUGGAUUCAGCGGCGGACGGGUGAGUAAUGCCUAGGAAUCUGCCUGGUAGUGGGGGAUAACGUCCGGAAACGGGCGCUAAUACCGCAUACGUCCUGAGGGAGAAAGUGGGGGAUCUUCGGACCUCACGCUAUCAGAUGAGCCUAGGUCGGAUUAGCUAGUUGGUGGGGUAAAGGCCUACCAAGGCGACGAUCCGUAACUGGUCUGAGAGGAUGAUCAGUCACACGGGAACUGAGACACGGUCCAGACUCCUACGGGAGGCAGCAGUGGGGAAUAUUAGACAAUGGGCGAAAGCCUGAUCCAGCCAUGCCGCGUGUGUGAAGAAGGUCUUCGGAUUGUAAAGCACUUUAAGUUGGGAGGAAGGGCAGUAAGUUAAUACCUUGCUGUUUUGACGUUACCAACAGAAUAAGCACCGGCUAACUUCGUG
rnacentral:rRNA from 1 species